GUCGGAUAGCGUAGUGGUUAGCGCUCCAGAGUCAUAUUUGCAAGAUCGCUGGUUCGAGUCUAGUGGAUGACA